UACGGAGGGGGCUAGCGUUGUUCGGAAUUACUGGGCGUAAAGCGCGUGUAGGCGGGCCAACAAGUCAGGUGUGAAAUCCCUGAGCUCAACUCAGGAACUGCAUUUGAAACUGUUGGCCUUGAGUGGUGGAGAGGGAAGCGGAAUUCCUGGUGUAGAGGUGAAAUUCGUAGAUAUCAGGAGGAACACCGGUGGCGAAGGCGACUUCCCGGACACCAACUGACGCUGAGACGCGAAAGCGUGGGGAGCAAACAGG
rnacentral:rRNA from 1 species